rnacentral:lncRNA from 1 species
UUUAGUUAUUCAGUUCCCAGAUAAAAGGCACAUAAUCUUUAUAUUUUUAAUAAGCCUUAAUCAGCACUAGAGCUGGGCAGAUAUCUACCCUUUCUGCUAUUUCCCCAUCAAUAACCCCAAGUUUUAAUUUGCCAUGUUCCAUCCGGGCAGCUCUUAACUCCAAUUGGCCAGCCCUUGUGGCCAUAUAUUUUUUUUUUUUUUGAUUCGUAUACCCCAUGGAUGCUUCCUCCUCUCUCCACCUUCUUCUCUCUCCUCUUCCAUUUCCUCAGACCCUAAGCCCGGGAGCUGAAACCCUGCCUAUCUGUCUUCUGCCCAGCUAUAGGCUGUUGGCAUCCUUAUUCACCAAUCAGAGAUACCUUGGGGGACAAGAUUACAUGGCAUCAUUUGUGUACAGACAUCCUUGGGGGCAACCAGGACUUGGGGGCCAGUAUUUAGCAUUGCAGUACAAGCAGAAGACAGUACAUUAUUGGCUGGGGCCAGGAGGAAUUCCAGGGGCUGCUGGACACGACCUUAUAAGGUUAGAAGAAGUUUAACCUGGCUACCAGGCUACAUGACCUCCUCUGGUGGGCAAAGGUGGGCAUGCAGGCCAGGGCAGUGUGGCAGCUAUUCUACUUCUGCAGAUCUCAGGAUGAGAUUUUUGGGGUUUGGACACAUCACAAACCCACUAUUGCUCUGGGCCUGUUCCUCACAGCUCCCCAGCCCUAUGGGGGUGGGUAGUGGGAGUUCCAAUGUGUUGACCUAGUAAAGGGUUCACCCAGGCUGUCUCUUCCUAACACCAGGGAAGCCUUAUGUAGCUGAGCCAGACUCUUCUUCCAAUCUCUCUAGCCAGACUAACCUUGUCAGCCAUCAUGGGUCCUGGUGUGGCCUGUCUCCAACCCUGUUUUUCUAGAGUUCAAGUCCUCCAGGAGACUCCAGUUGGCAGACACCAGCUUUGUGAGAUUACCCAGGCUGUUUAAACACAGUACCCAGCUGGGUGGCAUCACCACACAGGAAGUCCAGAUCUGUAGGUUUCGUUUGCUGGGACCAAAUAACUAAGAUAGAACUCAAGGGAGGGAGGGUUUACUGAGGCUCAGGGUUUGAAGGUUAAGGAUGCAUCAUGGUGGAGAAAGCAUGGCAGGCAGGAGCAUGAGGUGGCCAGACACAUUACAUUUUCAGUCAGAAAACCUAGGGCCCUCCCUGAAGUGACAUGCUUCCUCCAGGGAGGCUCCACUGCCUCCGUGGGCCUCACCAUUUCACAAUAACACCACUUGGAAGGACAAUGUUCAAGCACUGGUGUCGCCACAAACCAUGUGGCCUUCCUCCUGUCACUCGGCAUUCUUCCUGUGUGUUGACACACUGCCUCAACAGGGACACUGGCCACGUUGGCACUGGGAGCUCACUGUGCUUCAACCUGAUGUCAUCCUAAACUAAUCAAGUCCGCAGAGACCCCGUUUCCAAGUCAAUUGUAUUCUGAGGUCGUUGUUUCUAAGCAACACAGUUCUGUCCCUAGGAUUGGCUUCCUGCCUCUUUCCUCUGACUGGUGGCUCUCUGAUUUCAUGUGGCAGCUGUCAGAACCAAAAGGAAUCAGAGAGAGACUGGAGGGGGAAGAGUCUGUCCAUGGGCAGCAAAACAUUCAGAGACUCGCAGAGCCUAAAGAGACAGCCUUUUCUGGGAGUUCCUCACGAAGCAAGGUCAUCCGUGCUGCACAGUGCAUAGCUGAGUUCUCUGCAGGGGAAAAAAAAAAGCACACAGGGGUUACGGGAUGAAUAUGAAUUGGUUCAAAGGUAUUUUUAGGGCCAGAAAGAUGGCUCAGUAGUAAAGACUCCUGCCAUUAAGCCCGAUGACUUAAAUUCAAUCCCUGGGACCCACAUGAUGGAAGGAGAGAACCAACUCCCGUAAGUUGUGUUGAGUGCCUAAAUACAUAAAAAAAUAAAUAAAUAAAAAUACCUCC